rnacentral:rRNA from 1 species
UACGUAGGUGGCAAGCGUUACUCGGAAUCACUAGGCGUAAAGCGCAGGUAGGCGGUUCGGUAAGUCUUUUGUGAAAGCUCCCGGCUUAACUGGGAGAGGUCAAAGGAAACUACCGGGCUAGAGUGUGGUAGGGGAAACUGGAAUUCCUGGUGUAGCGGUGAAAUGCGUAGAUAUCAGGAGGAACACCUAUGGCGAAAGCAGGUUUCUGGGCCAUCGCUGACGCUGAGCUGCGAAAGCUAGGGGAGCAAACAGG